UUGACCUCGGAUCAGGUAGGGAUACCCGCUGAACUUAAGCAUAUCAAUAAGCGGAGGAAAAGAAACCAACCGGGAUUGCCUCAGUAACGGCGAGUGAAGCGGCAAGAGCUCAAAUUUGAAAUCUGGCCCCCUCGGGGUCCGAGUUGUAAUUUGCAGAGGAUGCUUCGGGUGCGGCCCCCGUCUAAGUGCCCUGGAACGGGCCGUCAU
rnacentral:rRNA from 1 species